GUGCUUGCUGUGGAGAACAUAUACUGAAACUGGAAUGACAGAAGAUUAGCACGGCUCCUGCACAAAGAUGACACGCAAAUUCAUGAAGCGUUCCAUACUAAA
ensembl:snRNA U6 U6 spliceosomal RNA